AGAACGAACGCUGGCGGCAUGCCUAACACAUGCAAGUCGAACGAACCCUUCGGGGUUAGUGGCGCACGGGUGCGUAACGCGUGGGAACCUACCAUCAGGUUCGGAAUAACAGUUAGAAAUGACUGCUAUUACCGGAUAAUGUCUUCGGACCAAAGAUUUAUCGCCUUUUGAUGGGCCCGCGUUGGAUUAGCUAGUUGGUAAGGUAAAGCUUACCAAGGCGACGAUCCAUAGCUGGUCUGAGAGGAUGAUCAGCCACACUGGGACUGAGACACGGCCCAGACUCCUACGGGAGGCAGCAGUGGGGAAUAUUGGACAAUGGGCGAAAGCCUGAUCCAGCAAUGCCGCGUGAGUGAUGAAGGCCUUAGGGUUGUAAAGCUCUUUUACGUGGGGUAUGAUAAUGACAGUACCCAGAGAAUAAGCUCCGGCUAACUCCGUGCCAGCAGCCGAC
rnacentral:rRNA from 1 species